rnacentral:lncRNA from 1 species
CAAUAAUUCUUAGAUAACGAAAAAGUAUGUUUGUAACAAGAAUAGCUUGUCUUCUUAUUUCUUUUGUAUACACAGUGGAUAGUGCAGCUAUAAACACAACAAAAUUUGAUUUAAAGUCAUCUAAAGGGAUCAUUUCAACAAAAUUAAUCAAAAGGGAUGUGAUCGUCAAAUCUUUGAUGGAGUGCGCUUCUCAAUGCAGCAGUUAUGAUUUUUGUAAAACAGCAAGUUUCGAUUCUGAGACGACGUCGUGCAACC